GCGGCUGUGGAGUGUAUAGAAGUGAGAAUGCCGGAAUGAGUAGCGCGAAUGCAGUGAGAAUCUGCAUGGCCGAAAGCCUCAGGUUUCUGGAGGAAGGUUCGUCCGCUCCAGGUUAGUCGGGAGCUAAGGUGAGGCCUAACGGCGUAGCCGAUGCACAGACGGUAGAGAUUCCGUCACCACCAAAAGAGUUAAGCACAGGGACACAUUUGAAGUCUCGGAGCCGGGUGUUGGUUCCGGUAGCGAUCGAGGGAAGUUAGUACCGAAGUCCGGGAUGGAAGAUGGCGAGAAAAGCUGUGUGUAUUUCUGCGGUGCCCGUACCGCAAACCGACACAGGUAGGUAGGAAGAAGAUUCUAAGGCCAACGGGAGAAGGGUUGUUAAGGAACUCGGCAAAUUGACCCCGUAACUUCGGGAGAAGGGGUGCUCUAGAGAUAGAGCCGCAGAGAAUCGGCCCAAGCAACUGUUUACCAAAAACACAGGUUUGUGCUAAAUCGAAAGAUGACGUAUACGAGCUGACGCCUGCCCGGUGCUGGAAGGUUAAGAGGAGAUGUGCAAGCAUUGAAUCGAAGCCCCAGUGAACGGCGGCCGUAACAAUAACGGUCCUAAGGUAGCGAAAUUCCUUGUCAGGUAAGUUCUGACCCGCAUGAAAGGCGUAAUGAUUUGGGCACUGUCUCGACAGCCCGCCCGGCGAAAUUGUAGUACCGGUGAAGAUGCCGGUUACCCGCGACAAGACGGAAAGACCCCAUGGAGCUUUACUGUAGCCUAAUAUUGGGUUUCGAUGUUGCAUGCACAGGAUAGAUGGGACACUGGGAAGCAAGUGCUUUGGCAUUUGUGGAGUGGCCGUUGGGAUACCAUCCUUGCGAUAUUGGAAUUCUAACCUGCGCCUUUGAAUCAAGGCGGGGGACAUUGUUAGGUGGGCAGUUUGACUGGGGCGGUCGCCUCCUAAAGAGUAACGGAGGCGUUCAAAGGUUCGCUCAGCUUGAACGGAAAUCAAGCAAAAGAGUGCAAACGCAGAAGCGAGCCUAACUGCGAGACUGACGGGUCGAGCAGUAACGAAAGUUGGAGUUAGUGAUCCGGUGGUAUGUGAGUGGAAAUGCCAUCGCUCAACGGAUAAAAGUUACCCUGGGGAUAACAGGCUGAUCUCCCCCAAGAGUCCACAUCGACGGGGAGGUUUGGCACCUCGAUGUCGGCUCAUCGCAUCCUGGGGCUGUAUUCGGUCCCAAGGGUUUGGCUGUUCGCCAAUUAAAGCGGUACGCGAGCUGGGUUCAGAACGUCGUGAGACAGUUCGGUCCCUAUCUGUCGUGGGCGCAGGAUAUUUGAUGGGAGCUGUUCCUAGUACGAGAGGACCGGAGCGGACGUACCUCUGGCGCACCAGUUGUUCUGCCAAGGGCAUAGCUGGGCAACUAUGUACGGAUCGGAUAAACGCUGAAAGCAUCUAAGCGUGAAGCCGACCCAAAGAUAAGAUAUCCCAUUGUUCCAAACAAGUAAGACCCCUUGAAGACUACAAGGUUGAUAGGCAUGAUGUGUAAGUGGAGUGAUCCAUUCAGCAAGCAUGUACUAAUAGGUCGAGGGCUUGAC
rnacentral:rRNA from 1 species